rnacentral:rRNA from 1 species
CCUACGGGAGGCUGCAGUGGGGAAUAUUGGACAAUGGGGGGAACCCUGAUCCAGCCAUGCCGCGUGUGUGAAGAAGGCCCUCGGGUUAUAAAGCACUUUCAGUGAGGAAGAACGCCUGGUGGUUAAUACCCAUCAGGAAAGACAUCACUCACAGAAGAAGCACCGGCUAACUCCGUGCCAGCAGCCGCGGUAAUACGGAGGGUGCGAGCGUUAAUCGGAAUUACUGGGCGUAAAGCGCGCGUAGGUGGCUUGAUAAGCCGGUUGUGAAAGCCCCGGGCUCAACCUGGGAACGGCAUCCGGAACUGUCAAGCUAGAGUGCAGGAGAGGAAGGUAGAAUUCCCGGUGUAGCGGUGAAAUGCGUAGAGAUCGGGAGGAAUACCAGUGGCGAAGGCGGCCUUCUGGACUGACACUGACACUGAGGUGCGAAAGCGUGGGUAGCAAACAGGAUUAGAUACCCCAGUAGUC